CUCCUCUUCUCCUGGUGGUUGGGACUGUAUACGAUUUGGAAAAGUGCUAUGAGCAUCUUGCCACCAGCCUGAAGAUAAAGCCAACAUGAUAUGAAGUGGGAGGAGAGGAAUACACAGAAACUGAAUCUGAGCACUGAUCUGAUAUCCUUGGACUUAACUGUUAUUGGCAAUAUUUUCUUUCCCAUUUAAAUUUACAUAUCAUGGGGUUUCCGCUGCAGCUUUAUUGAAGCAUAGUUGACAAAAGUUGCAUGUAUUUCACUGUACAUUUUGAUUUUGUUGGUUAUUCAAUAGAUAUUUAUUGAUUCUGUCCUGUAAGGGCACUUUGCAGAACCUUGGAACCCACAGAUGUUUCCUGCAAUUGAAGGACCUCACACUCUAGCAUAUAACCUUGAAAGGCAUCUGGAGACAUCAUUUUUUGAAAAAGUUUUAUUUAUUUAUUUGAGAGAGAGCAUGAGUGGGGAGGGGCAGAGGGAGAAGCAGGCUCCCGGCUGAGAGCAGAGCCAGAUGCAGGCACCGUGCUCCUGAUCCCAGGACUGCGGGAUCACGUCCUGAGCCAAAGGCAGACACUUAACCUACCUACAAGCCACCCAGUCGCCUCUGGGACUGUUAUUUUAUAUUGAGAUGUAAUUGAUGUUCAACAUAUUAGUUUCAGGCGUAUGACGUAAUAAUUCGAUAUCUGUAUUGUUAGAAAUGAAAUCCAACCAAAUAAAUAACUUCUGAAUAAAACAGAAUUCUCUUCAAAGUACCUGGGAGGGAGAUGGGCCCUGUUCAGUCAGAACCACGGUUUUUAAGUUGUCCUUUCCUCAAGGAUUAGCAACCUGAUGAAGGAUAAAGGAGUCUAAAUUCUGUUUGGAAUCUACGGUCACUAUAUAAUGUAUGCAUUUUUGUCCCAGUCCCAUCACUUACACUUCCUAUGUAAAAAAUGGAAGAAAAAAACAACUGUAUCUUCCUCACGGGGAUGUUAUAAGGUACUGAGGCCACAAUUUCAGUCACACGAGCGGGUUGGCACUACAGAAGCGAUCCUCACACAGGGUACGGCAAUGGCGCCCUUCGUGAUGAAGACCCUGCACCGAUCGCACGGCUCAGGAGCCAGCAAGAAGUAUUCUCACUCCAAGAACUGGCUCCUUGUCCACACUCAACGGUACUGGUGUAGGUUUAAGCACUUUCUCAAGCCAUCCGUGCUUCAUGUGGAUGCCCGUCUGCUGGAGAAGAUUUUCGGUGAGUUCGCUCGAAUAUUUACCACUCGGCCCCACGUUGGUCUCCGGUGA
rnacentral:lncRNA from 12 species